CAAGAUGGCGGCGCGGGGAGGCCGUGUGGCGUUUGAUGCUUCAAGCUCUCCGCUGAUUGGCGGGUCAACUGAGGCGAACGUAAAGCUGACGCUUUGCGCCCGUGACUAGUCAAAGGUCGCAGGCAGCAAUCAAGGUCAACCAGCACAUCAUACACGUGAUCCUCUGGUUCUACAGCGCGCUCGCAGACGAGCGUGCGUGUUUCGACAAGUUGAGCGAAUUCCUGCAAGGCGCGUCUGGGACCUGCAGCGGCCUGCAUGCCACAGUGAGGGGCGGGGCCCCAAUGAGGGGCGGCGCCUUCGUCUGCAGAGCACAAUCCUGUGAAGCCCGUCAUGUUCUGGUUACUUCUGAAGAAAUGGAUCCAUGUGGCAACUUGCCAGUUACCAAAAAAAAAGUAAAGAAAAGUCAACAGAUGUUUAUUUGAAUUUCAAUUCUUGUUUAUAAAAGAGAAAGGAAACAAGCUUUCAACUUUUGUACAUGAGCCGCAGCUGAAAUUACAAAAUUUGACCUGAUGGGGGCGCCGCUGGACAUGAUUUGAUCCGGCCGUUCCUUUUAUUUUAUUGCGCACCUUAUUUAUGGUAUAAUUAGAAACAUUAAAUGGCAUGCCAACAAGCUCAUUAGUAAACAUGUUAACAUGUAUAACUGCCAUUGUUUCUACGGGGAAACGAAAAGUGAUUACUUCAGAGAGAGAAUGUAUAUGCGUGUAUAUGUGAGGUUGUGACAUCAUCGCUGAACCUCGUGUACGUUGCCAUAGAAACACGGCAGCCGACACAUAAAUAGCACAUAUUUGGCACCCUCUAGCGGCAGCACAUGGAACUGCCGCGUUAAUGAAGCGCACAGCAACUCAGUGGUAUAGGAUUAAUAAACCAUGACGUCAUGAUUACGGAGAGAGUUGAUGCAUGAAGUGAAUGUGGACUUUCAGUUCAAGUUUAUUAACUGAUACAUUAACUUGGCCCAUCAGCUUCAGACAAAGUGGACAAAUAACACCAUUCAGUGAGUCACAUCAGGAUGCGAUGGUGCUGAAUGAUUGGCGCUACAAGAUCACUGUUUUAGUCUUCACACAUUUCACGAGCAAAAAAACAAAUUACUUCACCCGCCCCGAGUCAUCAAUGUGGUUUCUACGAGUCAGCGCGGGUCGACCAUGAUGAAGACAGGGGCAGCUACAGUCCUCUUCAUCACUUCUUGAGGCCCAAAGACAAGCUGAAAGACAACGCAGCCUUGAACAAUACUGCAACCAGCCAGCAGAGGCCCAUAGGUCUAUCAACACAAUUUUCUCAGUGACUGUUUGCAUGCACUAAAAUAGUUGGAUUCCCCCAAUAAUUAGGUGUCUUCAUUCUUCACACUUCGAUGUGAAGUCCCAGUGUACAUGUGGUCCCUAAUUCAAAAUCGACUUGCAAAGUAAAUUUCCUCUAAUUUUCACUACUAUUAACUCCAAUACCGCCCUCU